UUGACAUGUUCAUAGUAAUGAUAUAAAACCAUUCACCACCAUGACUUAUGAUGUGGUGGUGAAUGGUUCUAUCUUGCUCUAUACUGCUAACUUUGAAUAAUGAACUUGGUUAGAGGGAGCUUGCAUCAUUUGUUUUUUUGGUGUGUGAGGUUCUGUUUUUGGGAAAGCUCAUGGAUUGGAGCGAAGAAUGUUCUCCGCUUUGGAGUACCAAACCGUUGACAGUUCGGUCUCGGGUCUCAUGCGAAAGGCUUCUAAAAUUUUGAUCCGUCACACUUUGGAGUUUUCUGAGGUGUUUCACAAUUAGCAUUAGCCCUUCUCCUCUUACAACUCAUAUGAGAAGGAUAAUUUAGAACAUCAUUGCUUCGUCUUUUCCCAUUGCUUCAUUGC